rnacentral:tRNA from 1 species
CUCUGUGAAGUUUAUGUGAAUAAAAGCUUUGGGUGCUUUAGGUUUAUAGGGAGU